rnacentral:lncRNA from 1 species
CAAAUUGCAAAUUUAUGUCAUUUGAUUGAGCUUGUGUGCCACGUUCUUCACAUACAUCCAUAUCUACCAACAUAUUCCACAAAAAUUAUGAAUACACCAAAUACAUCUAUUUAAUUACAAUUAUUAAAGCACUACAAGAAAGGAAGAAUAUUGCACCUGAGUCCAUUACUUAAGGACAAUGCAAGUCAUUCUCACUCCAAUUUCCAAAAGAUCCACAAUUACAGAGACUGAAGAAGGUCUAGCUGCUUCUCUAAAAUACUGUAAGAAAGAAGCAAUUCCAAUUUUACUUAAUAUACUAUUAAAAAAGUCAAUAUUAAACCUACAUUUUCGUUUGUAUAAAUCAUGCUGGGAAGUGUACAUAAAUAGUUUGAAUUAUAGAUAGAUAGAUGUGAGUAGUAGAUAAGUGGACUAAUUAAUGGCGAAAUGAAUUCUGCCAUAUAUUUCCGAUUAGUUAUGUCACAAAUUAAGGGACCACUUGAGGAAAAUGGUGCAAACUAAAAUGAGCCGCCAUAUUUUGUGCAUCUUUUAGCAACUCCUCUCUACUCCCACCCGAACCAAAUUUCAGACACAACCUCAGCAAAAACACUUCAUGCAAGACAAUCCUAGCUAAUGCCCCAAUCCCACACCUCGUGUUCAUCUGAUUCCAAACAUCAUCACUCAAAAUGGGGAAAAAAGCCCUCAAAUCUUCCCUAUUUGUACAACUCCCUCCACCUCGGUCAACAGUCCAAACCCUAACCAAAUCCUCAAAACACAGCACUGAUUUAUCAAUAUCAACAAUUCCAUUUGCAUAAUCAUCGACCCCACAGUAUACCAUAAUAUAGCUAACCAUUUUCUCUACCAAAUCUCCAACCUCCAUUCUCAAACUAAACCCAUGUUUCAAAAAAUCAUACAAAAAAUUAUACAGCUCGUAUACAACAGGUGCAAGUAGCACAAUUUUUUUCGAUGCGCUACUCAAGUUAGAACACGAAAUUAGUAAAUUCAACAGGUCACUAGCUACAAGAAUUCGAGUGGAAGGAUUGUGGUUCAUGGUGUGUGUGAGUUUGUGAUUGUGGUUGGUUGUGUGCUAAAAAGGUAAAAAUGACAAGAAAGUUGGUUAUUGACCUUUGUUGAGCCGGCGACAACUGAAAAAUGUAGCUCUCCGACGAUUUUGAGAGAAAAUGACAGGAGAUACCGAGAGAAAUUAGGGCUUGGGUCUUGCGGUUGUGAUUGUGGUGAAGAAGUAAAGUGAAAUUUUAGGUUUCUUUUCCUUUUAUAGUAGGUCAUUUUUUUCACUUAAUUUUGCGGGUUGGGUCGGUUUGGGUUCUUUCGGUUUUUUUGGUUUAACCCACCACCCAACCCAAACCAACCCAACAUCAUAACCCAUUACCCGAAACCCGCCAAAAACACAAAAAAAGCGACCCAAACCAAUCGGUUUGGGUCGGUUCGGGCGGUUUUCGUGGGUUGGCUUGGGUUUUUCCCACCCCUAUCCCCAUCCCCAUUCCCGUUUCAACGUUUUCCUUUACCUCACCAUCUCUGAAUUCUGAAUGUAGUAUGCUUCCUACCUUCUCUCUCUACAUUUACCCACUGUCAAAUGUUAAAAAAGCUCUGGUGUCUUUUCUAUUGCUUCCCAGGUUUAGCCCAGAAGCUCUGAACUGGCUGUUCGCCAAGGGCUUGGUAGGCUGGUGUUUGCAAGUUAUCCUUCUGAAAGCAACAUUGUUUACAUUGGGUAGUGGCAAGGCGCCUUUGCUUGAUAUGGUGGCAUACGCUGGAUACACUUUCACGGGACUGUCUCUGGCUAUCUUGGGGAAGAUUGUCUGGAACUAUUCGUACUACUUUCUGAUGCCGUGGACGUGCCUUUGUAUGGGGAUUUUCUUGGUGAAGACAAUGAAGAGAGUUCUUUUUGCUGAAGUGAGGAGUUAUGAUUCGAGCAGGCAUCAUUAUCUUCUAUUGCUCAUCGCCUUGGCACAGUUCCCACUAUUCAUAUGGCUGGGAAACAUUAGUCUCAACUGGCUUUUUUGAGAUGCAUGCCUUCAAGAAGUUGUUGUGAAUAGUUCAUCUGUGUAAUGACAGUAAAGAUUUUUUUCCAGGCGAUUUUAUUAAUAGAUUGUUUGAUCUCUUGGGUUCUUGCUUGAUAUUACGGAUUGAGGGCUAAGGGCAUGUUCGAUUUUUUUUCCCCUCCUCAAAGACUGUUUAAUUCGUGGAUUGAACCAUUAGUAAGAAAAUGAAGUAAAAUCUUAUACGUUGGAUCUUUGGUCCUGUUUAGUAGCAAGCACUAAUUGAUGAACAUUUCUGACCAUUCGUAGUUAAUUUUAACAAGUAACUUCUUUUUUUUCUUCCUCUCUUUUUCUUCAUUUUGAAUCUUGAGACAUAUUGUCUGUACACCGAAGUUAACUCUCGUGAGGGGUCUGUACCCCCGUGUACAAAUAGAAAAAUCCUUGAAUCUUAAAGGAUUUUAUUUUGGCAAGGACAAUUUUAUUUUGCUCUUGAUAUGGG